rnacentral:rRNA from 1 species
UACGAAGGGAGCUAGCGUUGUUCGGAAUCACUGGGCGUAAAGCGCACGUAGGCGGAUGUGCCAGUCAGGGGUGAAAUCCCGGAGCUCAACUUCGGAACUGCCCUUGAUACAGCACGUCUUGAGUCCGAGAGAGGUGAGUGGAAUUCCUAGUGUAGAGGUGAAAUUCGUAGAUAUUAGGAAGAACACCGGUGGCGAAGGCGGCUCACUGGCUCGGUACUGACGCGUGAGGUGCGAAAGCGUGGGGAGCAAACAGG